CCCUUAGAUGUUCUGGGCCGCACGCGCGCUACACUGACGAAUGCAACGAGCUUAUAACCUUGGCCGAAAGGUCUGGGUAAUCUCCAAAUUUCGUCGUGAUGGGGAUAGAUUAUUGCAAUUAUUAAUCUUCAACGAGGAAUGUCUAGUAAGCGCAAGUCAUCAGCUUGCGUUGAUUACGUCCCUGCCCUUUGUACACACCGCCCGUCGCUCCUACCGAUUGAAUGGUCCGGUGAAGCCUCCGGAUUGGCGCGCACCUCGGUGCCGUCGAGAAGUUGGCUAAACCUUACCAUUUAGAGGAAGGUGAAGUCGUAACA
rnacentral:rRNA from 1 species